rnacentral:rRNA from 1 species
AACGCUAGCUACAGGCUUAACACAUGCAAGUCGAGGGGAAACGACAUCGAAAGCUUGCUUUUGAUGGGCGUCGACCGGCGCACGGGUGAGUAACGCGUAUCCAACCUGCCCACCACUUGGGGAUAACCUUGCGAAAGUAAGACUGAUACCCAAUGAUAUCUCUAGAAGACAUCUGAAAGGGAUUAAAGAUUUAUCGGUGAUGGAUGGGGAUGCGUCUGAUUAGCUUGUUGGCGGGGUAACGGCCCACCAAGGCUACGAUCAGUAGGGGUUCUGAGAGGAAGGUCCCCCACAUUGGAACUGAGACACGGUCCAAACUCCUACGGGAGGCAGCAGUGAGGAAUAUUGGUCAAUGGACGAGAGUCUGAACCAGCCAAGUAGCGUGCAGGAUGACGGCCCUAUGGGUUGUAAACUGCUUUUAUAAGGGAAUAAAGUGAGUCUCGUGAGACUUUUUGCAUGUACCUUAUGAAUAAGGACCGGCUAAUUCCGUGCCAGCAGCCGCGGUAAUACGGAAGGUCCGGGCGUUAUCCGGAUUUAUUGGGUUUAAAGGGAGCGUAGGCCGGAGAUUAAGCGUGUUGUGAAAUGUAGAUGCUCAACAUCUGCACUGCAGCGCGAACUGGUUUCCUUGAGUACGCACAAAGUGGGCGGAAUUCGUGGUGUAGCGGUGAAAUGCUUAGAUAUCACGAAGAACUCCGAUUG